ACCCCCCACCCCCGGUGCGGGUUUGUGCCUCCCGGCGGCGGCAGCAGGACGGGGGGCGCGGAGGAGAAAGCGGCGCUUUGUGCGCGGCGGGUUCCUACCAGAUGUUUGCAGCGGCGCUUUCGGGGGGGAGGCGGCGGGGGGGGGGGGGCUGUAAAAAUCCCGGCUGAAAACAAGAAGCGGGCGCCGGUCCCCCCCCCUCCCCCCCCACCCUCCCAGCACCCGCCGCCGCACCGGGGGCCCGUCCCCGCCCUGAGGUGGUGGUGAAAAGCCCCCCCCCCCCCCCCCCCCCCCCCCCCCCCCCCCCCGAGGUCGCAGCAGCGGUGGUUUCGACUGAACGUCGAGAUUCACUUUCACCCUUCCAAUUUCCCAACGCGUUGAAUUGUGUUCCUGUCAGCCUCGGCACCGCCUCCAGUCCACCCCCAGAGAAAAGCCCCGGGGCCAACACCCUGCUGUGACAGUCACCAAAAUGUCCUGCUAGGGAAAAGCCAACCGCCGCCUCAGGAACGCCACGUUAAUUGGAAAAAAUAUUGAUCCAGCUCUCCCCAGCUUCGUCUCCAAGUGUCCGUAACGUUCCUACCCCACAGCCCCAACUCCUUGAGUGUAACUAUGCAACAACAGCGCAGAUAAAUCCAAUAUUUGUCUGCUUUUAAUAGUUAUGACUGACAGCACAACCUGCCCUGGUGUUAGGGACAGAUGCCGUUACUACGUUUCUGUUUGGAAUGAACACUAACGUACUUCAAGCAUCCGGGUGGUUAUUACAGAAUUGCUGCGUUUUGUGUGGAAUUUAUUAAUUGUUUAUACAUGUCCAUGCUUCUGUAAGUUUAACUUUCCUCAGGUAGUGUGUGAAAAGAUGGGUGGAAGCUAUGUCGGUAUGUUAUACAGCCGCUAGUGUAAGCAAAACAGAGAAAAUACAAUGGACCAAACUUUAAAAAAAAAAAGUCUCCAACUAAACAAAAAAACCCAACUUCUUCCUCUGGAAUGUUUCUGGAAGAUGUUUCAUUGGCUGCAACCAAAAGCUGCAAAAAGUACAGCGUGUAGUAAGUAUUUGCAUUUGUCACCAGAGACAAUCUAUGCAUAAUUAAUGACAGCACUGUGUCACGAGCACGGAUAGGGUGCAGAUGAGCAGCCUUUCAAGGGCAAUACAUGUAAAUGCACUUCCAAUAUGCA